UGUGUUACAGUUUCUUACAGUGUUGAGUAGAGUUGCAUGCUGUACAGGUUUGUAGCCGAGGAGCAAUAGGUUCUGUCAUACAGCCUAGGUCUGCAGUAGGUUGUCCCAUUUAGGUUUGUGUAAGGACACUCUUUGAUGUGUACACAUGAAGAAAAUUGCCUAAUGACACAUUUCUCCAAAUGUGUGUCUGUCAUUAAGCAACAGAUGACUGAUGUGAAAUGUCAGAAUAGGCCAAUCCAUAGAGAGAUUGUCUGGGGAUGGAGUAGGAGAUGGGUAAGCAGGAAUCAGGAAGACUGCUGUAGCACAGGGUUUCUCCCCCACUUCCCACCACUUUUUUCAAUAGAGACAGGGUCUUGCUCUGUUGCCCAGGCUGAAGUGUAGUGGCAUGAUCAUGGCUCACUGCAGCCUCUAACUCCUGGGAUCCUCCCACCUCAGCCUCCCAGGUGAGUGCCACCACACCCAGCUAAUCAAAAAAAUUUUUCUAGAGGCAGGGUCUCACUAUGUUGCCCAGGCCUGCAGAGAGUUUCUUUGGGGGGCAUUGAAAAUGUUCUAAAAUUAGAUUGUGGUGAUGUAAUUCAGUGUGUCUUUGAAUGAGUUUAAGUGUCAUGUCAAGUACAAUUGUCUUAUUCAGCUUAGAUUUUUGGAAUGUUUGAAGACAAACAUUGCCGUGGAGAUCACCUGGUAGCUUUCUGAGCAGGAGGCUGUGGACUGAGGGGAGCCAUCCACUCUGCCGAGAGCUUGAGAAAAUGAAGACUGAAAACAGAGCACUGGAGGUCGUUCAUACGCAAAAAUGCUUUCCCCUCGGAAUUGUCUCCAGCUCCUUCACCUCUUGGUUGUAGGUACAGACAGCAGAGACAAGAAGAGCCUUGAAGAGGCAGCCACACAUUGUGGUGAGGAGCACACAGCCUCUUGCUAGGAUAGGAAUAUGCUACCUAUGCUUUGGUUCCCAAUAUCCUUGCCAAUAAAACCUUUGUCUCUGAUCCUCUGAUGAACAUCAAAUGGAUCCACGGCUCUGCGGAGGACCCAAGACAACUUGCUUGAAUUGUU
rnacentral:lncRNA from 10 species